rnacentral:rRNA from 1 species
UACGGAGGGUGCAAGCGUUAUCCGGAUUCACUGGGUUUAAAGGGUGCGUAGGCGGGUAGGUAAGUCCGUGGUGAAAUCUCUGAGCUUAACUCAGAAACUGCCAUUGAUACUAUCACUCUUGAAUAUUGUGGAGGUCAGCGGAAUAUGUCAUGUAGCGGUGAAAUGCUUAGAUAUGACAUAGAACACCAAUUGCGAAGGCAGCUGGCUACGCAUAUAUUGACACUGAGGCACGAAAGCGUGGGGAUCAAACAGG